UAAAGUCAUAAUUAUGAUUGAUGCAUUAUCGCAGACGAUCAGCUGCAACCUGUGUCAAGAUGAGAAUAUUACGACUUUUAAUAUAUUACGACUUUAUUUUUGAAGUAUUACAUAUUUUUUUCUCUUUAGUUUGGCCCUAGUACUCGUAAAUCACAUGCGUCACACAGAGAUGAAAAUAUCUAAAUUCUUUGUAAUUCAGCAAACACUUUUAACACAGCUUUUGAUACUUUUUUAUGUUUUGAUUGAUUGAGCCACUCUCACAGCGUUCCCACAAAGCACAGAACUGAGAGCGUUUUGUGAAACUAUUAAUUUUUAAAAAUGUUAACAGAUGUUGCAUUAGAAGGAAAUACAUUUUGUUUUGGAGCGCCAUAGAAUAAGAGACAUGAUAAAAUGGGUAAAUCAAGCCAUGCUGGAGUUUCAAAUAAGGAUUUUUCCCCCCACUGCUGCAUAAUUACCAUCUUAAAAUUUCCUUUUAUUAUUACAUGUCCUUAUAGAUCACAUUUAUUAAUUAAGUCUUAUUUGAGACACAUUUCUUGAUACCAUGACUAGGUUUUAAAUCACAUACUGUAUUUAAAUACAUGAGCAACGCAGAGGGACCAUUACACUGUUUUCAUUUGAGAAAGAGGGAGCAACUAGUUAAGUGAGCAGCUGUGACGUCAUCUCACGUCCCAAAUGUAUGCUGAGCUGAAUCCAGCCAGACACAGACCUACCAAGAGGAAAACAGAGCGGGCUGCAUGGAGGAAUAUGGUGCAUUUACUGAGCAUCUUUGCAGACAAGAGAGCAACAGAGAGACACUGCACAGAUCAGGCAUUAGUUAUAUUAACUGACAUCAAGCUUGAAGAGCGAUAACACAACAUGGGAAGUUAAAGGCUUGUUUGAUGAUCUUACACACAGCCUAAACUGAGUCUAAAGUGCUGCAGCUGCACAUUGUCAGAGGAGCGAGUCACCAGAUGUGUUGUCUCCUGCAGUGAAAGAAGAUUUUCCUCUGCCUGAAAGCUCUCUCGUCUCUGACAUUUUUUUUUUUGCAGCAGCAACUUCCAUAAAUAUUUACAUGCCUUGUCUCGUGGCUGUGAGAAAUGGAGAACACCUAAUGACUCCUUAUAUGACCCUUUAACUCAUGGUUUGCCUCAUCGGGCCCUACAGGCAGAACUGGAUGCUGAGGACUGUUGUGGUGCUUUUGGUUACUUUACAACAGGACAGAACUUGAUCCAGAGACACACUCUUUGUUGUACAGUACCGUGCGCUGCACCUCCCUUUUCCCUGCAAGAGGAAUAUUAUAAUUAUAGCAGAAGAAAAUGAUAAACACAUCCUGCAUAUGAACACUCAGUCACAGGAAUAUGCAUGGACUUAGCUCUGUGUUCUGUACGAUAAAUAUCCUCUAUUCAUGAUGAUAAUCAACAUCAUGUUUUAUUGAACUUGCUGUUAAAAAAGUGCUUUAUGAAAGUGUAAUAGUAAUGAUGAUAAUAGUAACGUAAGCAAAUACAACGAUAAAACCCAACACAGGGUGGAAUAAAAUAGGAAAAGUCGAUAGGUUGAAACCUUGUUUUAACUUUAAAAUAAUUAAACUGAAAACGCAAAUAAAACAACACAGGGUGGAAUAAAAAGAAGCUAGUCAGAGGCUAGAGUAAUAUCUAAUAUCCCUGAUAUCUAAGGGGAGUGUGUGCCACAGUUUAGGGGCGUAACAAAGGCAGCCUCCCCAAUUUUCUUUUGACUGUUGUGGGGAACUUCCAAUAACCCAACAGUGGACGAGCAGUAACGUUAAUGUUAUGAUCAUAACUCAGCUUUUUCCUUUUUAUUUCGAUAUAGGUGGCAAAUAGAUGCAGCUACUGGUAGUGCUCAUGUUUUUAACAGUGUUUAAAUAGAAACAACUGCUAUGUACUGUGAUAUUCUACACUAUAUUACACAUAAUAUAAGCUUAUUAUUAAAGAUACUUAAAGAUAAAGAUUUUCAGUGACAUCAUGUUGUUGUGACCUGCCCUCACGUACUAAAUGCUACCUAUCGUAAGAAAUAACUUAAAUGUGUAGUGUGUAGAGUAACUGUGGAUUGUGUUUCUGUAUAAUCUGUCCCCUGACCUGUGUGCACACACACACACAUUAUGGGCUGUGUUGUGUGUUCUCAACUGGUGGACAUGUGGACUGUGAGAGCGGGCAGGACGGAGCGCAGGGCCAUGGAGAUCACGCUGCAGGGAGGAGGAUACCACAGAGUGACGGGUCUCCACUACAUGUCGUCCUUCUCCGACGCCGAGGACUGCUGUGACGACACCAGCUCGGGCAGCUCUCUCACCUUAGACUGGCAAACUCAAGGGACCGAUGUCUGACGCCUGACCGAGAGGUGUUAGCAUCCAAAACAUGGAAAGCAAACAUCAUGACAUGCACAGGACAUGCUGAAUAAAGUGUGUUGAUUGGUGUCAAAGAAAGAGAAGGUGUUGGAACCUGUUGUGCUUGAAACGCCACCGGCAAUAAAAAUCCUUUAAAUGGGAGCUCUAAGGU